AACGUAGGAGGCGAGCGUUAUCCGGAGUUACUGGGCGUAAAGGGCGUGUAGGUGGUUCUGUAAGUCUGGCGUGAAAUUUCUCGGCUUAACCGAGGCAGGUCGUCGGAUACUGCAGGGCUAGAGGACGGUAGAGGCGUGUGGAAUUCCGGGUGUAGUGGUGAAAUGCGUAGAGAUCCGGAGGAACACCAGUGGCGAAGGCGACACGCUGGGCCGUACCUGACACUGAUGCGCGACAGCAUGGGGAGCAAACAGG
rnacentral:rRNA from 1 species